GAUGAACGCUGGCGGCGUGCCUAAUACAUGCAAGUCGAGCGAACGGACGAGAAGCUUGCUUCUCUGAUGUUAGCGGCGGACGGGUGAGUAACACGUGGAUAACCUACCUAUAAGACUGGGAUAACUUCGGGAAACCGGAGCUAAUACCGGAUAAUAUUUUGAACCGCAUGGUUCAAAAGUGAAAGACGGUCUUGCUGUCACUUAUAGAUGGAUCCGCGCUGCAUUAGCUAGUUGGUAAGGUAACGGCUUACCAAGGCAACGAUGCAUAGCCGACCUGAGAGGGUGAUCGGCCACACUGGAACGGAGACACGGUCCAGACUCCUACGGGAGGCAGCAGUAGGGAAUCUUCCGCAAUGGGCGAAAGUCUGACGGAGCAACGCCGCGUGAGUGAUGAAGGUCUUCGGAUCGUAAAACUCUGUUAUUAGGGAAGAACAUAUGUGUAAGUAACUGUGCACAUCUUGACGGUACCUAAUCAGAAAGCCACGGCUAACUACGUG
rnacentral:rRNA from 1 species